ensembl:lncRNA
GUUACAUUAUACUGUAUUAGAACACAACUGUACUUUAGAACCAGAAGAGACUCCACUAUCAACAUGAGAAAUGAUGGUCAACUGUAUAGACACACAUAUGCUGGGAUUCAAUCCAAUACUGUAUAGACACACAUAUGCUGGGAUUCAAUCCAAUACUGUAUAGACACACAUAGGCUGGGAUUCAAUCCAAUACUGUAUAGACACACAUAGGCUGGGAUUCAAUCCAAUACUGUAUAGACACACAUAGGCUGGGAUUCAAUCCAAUACUGUAUAGACACACACAGACUGGUAUUCAAUCCAAUACUGAAUAGACACACAGGCUGGGAUUCAAUCCAAUACUGUAUUGACAGACACAUAGGUUGGGAUACAAUCCAAUACUGUAUAGACACAUAGGUUGGGAUACAAUCCAAUACUGUAUUGACAGACACAGGCUGGGAUUCAAUCCAAUACUGUAUAGACACAUAGGUUGGGAUACAAUCCAAUACUGUACAGACAGACACAUAGGCUGGGAUUCAAUCCAAUACUGUAUAGACACACACAGACUGGGAUUCCAUCCAACACUGUACAGACAGACACAUAGGCUGGGAUUCAAUCCAAUACUGUAUAGACAGACAGACAGGCUGGGAUUCAAUCCAAUACUGUAUAGACAGACACACAGACUGGGAUUCAAUCCAAUACUGUAUAGACAGACACAUUGGCUGGGAUUCAAUCCAAUACUGUACAGACAGACACAUUGGCUGGGAUUCAAUCCAAUACUGUACAGACAGACACACAGGCUGGGAUUCAAUCCAAUACUGUAUAGACAGACACACAGGCUGGGAUUCAAUCCAAUACUGUAUAGACACACACAGGCUGGGAUUCGUAAGGUCGCUAGUUCAACUCCAGGAGCAGACAAGGUGAAGCAUUUGUCUGUGUGCCCUUGAGCAAGGCACUCAACCUCAAUUGCUCCAGGGAUGUCAUUGAUCAUGUCUGACCCUGUCUAAAGACCCCAGCUCUCUGUGGGUGUUGAUAAUGUCUGACCCUGUCUAAAGACCCCAGCUCUCUGUGGGUGUUGAUAAUGUCUGACCCUGUCUAAAGACCCCAGCUCUCUGUGGGUGUUGAUAAUGUCUGACCCUGUCUAAAGACCCCAGCUCUCUGUGGGUGUUGAUAAUGUCUGACCCUGUCUAAAGACUCCAGCUCUCUGUGGGUGUUGAUAAUGUCUGACCCUGUCUAAAGACCCCAGCUCUCUGUGGGUGUUGAUAAUGUCUGACCCUGUCUAAAGACCCCAGCUCUCUGUGGGUGUUGAUAAUGUCUGACCCUGUCUAAAGACCCCAGCUCUCUGUGGGUGUUGAUAAUGUC